GCUGGAGGCUCAGAGACGAAUCUUUCCCACCCUCCAUCCUUGUCCACACCUCCAGCUGCAGCUCUGUGGCCCUAAAAUAGGCCAGACGCGCGGGGCCGUUAGUGCUGGUCUACUGCGAGUCCCGGACCCUGGGAUGGGUACCUUGAUCCCCGGCCCAACGCCGGCUCCAACCUGGAUCUGGAUGGAGCUAAGGGCAGCACCUGUUGGCCUUCACAAAUCAGAACUGAGGAUCCAGGAGUGGGACUGAGACUUGUCUUCCUUUGCACCUCAGCAGGAUACCACCUCACCUGGAAAUUCAUCUUUAAGGUACAGUGUAUUCAUCUUGGUGUUGUCAGGUGCGGGAUCAGCUUAUACCUGGUGCUGGGAGUUGACACUCAUUUCUUAUACAUGUGUCUUUGGUGGCCAUUUGGACUCAUUUUUCCCUCCCUUUGAACACCCCACUUUGCACUAGUCUGGGAACAGGGUUAGACCAAUAGAGUUUUUCCAUCUCUGAUUUCUGCAUGUUGGUUAUGCAUGCAUUUCAAGUUAGUAUGAAAAAACAUAAAUCAGUUUUUGAUCUCACUGAGAAAGUCUCUCUUGAGAUUAAAUAAAAUACAGAACAUACCUCAUAUUGAUUAAUGGACAACUUAGUGCCAAGGAAACAUUUAUUAUGGGUGCCAGAAUCAAGGCGGCAUCUUAGAAAGCUGAAGGUCUUGAGAAUUAAUCUAUAAUUUGGGGUUUUUACUUGACUAAAUAACAUAGGACUUGGGAAAGUAAAUUGUAGAAUUAUCUUUUGUUUUGGUUUAUACACCUAAUCAUUAUCUAGCCCCUCAUUAAAUGACAUAAGUGAUUGAGCCUUACACAAAAUCAAGGUUUAUAUAAAUGUUAUUUGAUUAACUUGAUAUUUAUUUAAAGGGCAUUCUAGUAUGCUUUCAGAGUAAGUUAAUUAGUAAACGAAAUUUAUGAAUUCCCGAAGGAGUAAUAUCUUUUCCAGAUUGGCAAUUUUUGCUACAAAUAAAACUAUUUGAAUAGAUAUAAACUUGAGCAAAAAAAAAAAUCUUUGCUGUGAGGAUGCAGAGAAAUAGAACUGAUUGAAGAACAGACCCCUUCUGCUAAAGUCUAAUUAUUUAUAUUUGCCCUUUAGUUAUGUCCAAGGCAACCAGACAUCCUCAUUUGGAAGAUAUGCACUGAAAUACAAAACCCCUAUAAUGCCAAAGGUGCAGAUUAUUCCCUUGAACCUGAUACUAAUGGAUUUCCCCAACUCUUAGAACCAGAAAGAACCCUGAUGAACCUCUAAACCGAACACUUCAUUUCACAGAUGAGGAUACUGAAGUAUCUUUGCCAAAAUCUAAAAAGAAAGUUUGUAAACAAAGUGAAAGAAAGUCAUAAAAUAAAAAGCAUUUAAACAUGUACCUAAGAAAUAAAUACAUUAAUAAUAAUAUGGUUGAAAUCACAAUAGGCCAAAUAUCAUCCAAAGAAAAUAGAGGAAAUAGAAAUUAAUAAUUGGCCAUUUAGAAUAUCUACUGUGAGAAACUUGAACAUUUCUUUUUACUUAUCUCAAACUAUGUAUCUUCCUUAUUAGCACAAAAAUGCAAAUAAAUUUUGUUAAAAUUUGUUUUUUAUUUGUUUAAGCAAUGAGUUUUUUUAAUGUUUAAUACUAUUGAACACAUAGGACUCUAUAUCAGCACUGUCACAAUUUAUUCAUUAAUUCAACAAAUAAUUUUUGAGUGUCAACUACUUUCCAGUGUCUGUCUUGAGAUGGCACAUUCAGGUAUGAUCUCCUGAGUACAGAACCAGAAGCUGUGCUUUUGUCUUUUCACUAAGUGCUGAACACAUCAAUAGUUUGGUAUUUUCUGCCCUAGUGGAGACUAAAAGCACCUCUACAGAAGAGGAUUUUCUAAGUCUAUAAAUGUUCCGACACUCCCAUAACAGCAGAGGGCCAUAUGGAAUUAUACAGUCAAUAUUUAAGAAUACAUAGCUUGUAAUUGACCUGCAAUUAUAAUUCUAGGAGUUUCUGCUCCAGAUAUGCUUGUGAACAAAAUAUAUGAUUCACACUAAUUUUUUGCAAUAGAUCCAAAUAAAUUUAAUGUCCAUCAACACAAGAAUGCUUACAUAAAUUAGGCAUAUCCACUAAAAAUGGCAACCAUAAAAAAAAUACAGUCUGACAAGGAAAUAUUUUCUGAAGUGAAAAAAUAAUGCAGAGCAGUGUAUAUACUAUGGUUCUGCUUGCAAAAAAAAAUUCUCAUAUGUGGUUUCAUUAAAAUGGAAAUAUAAAUAAGACAUUAUUAACGGUGUCUUUGAGAAGAGUAUCAGGCAAGAGCAAGAAAAAAAGAAGACUUUUAGUUUUAUAUCCUUCGGUACUUUUUUUUUUUUUUUUUUUUUUUUUUUUUUUUUUAGGGCCC
ensembl:lncRNA